rnacentral:rRNA from 1 species
AUUGAACGCUGGCGGCAGGCCUAACACAUGCAAGUCGAACGAGUGGCGGACGGGUGAGUAAUGUCUGGGAAACUGCCUGAUGGAGGGGGAUAACUACUGGAAACGGUAGCUAAUACCGCAUACCAUCAGAUGUGCCCAGAUGGGAUUAGCUUGUUGGUGGGGUAACGGCUCACCAAGGCGACGAUCCAUAGCUGGUCUGAGAGGAUGAGCGGCCACACUGGAACUGAGACACGGUCCAGACUCCUACGGGAGGCAGCAGUGGGGAAUAUUGCACAAUGGGCGCAAGCCUGAUACAGCCAUGCCGCGUGUAUGAAGAAGGCCUUCGGGUUGUAAAGCACUUUCAGCAGGGAGGCGGUACCCGCAGAAGAAGCCCCGGCUAACUCCGUGCCAGCAGCCGCGGUAAUUC